rnacentral:rRNA from 1 species
UACGUAGGGUGCGAGCGUUAAUCGGAAUUACUGGGCGUAAAGCGUGCGCAGGCGGUCUGUUAAGACCGAUGUGAAAUCCCCGGGCUUAACCUGGGAACUGCAUUGGUGACUGGCAGGCUUUGAGUGUGGCAGAGGGAGGUAGAAUUCCACGUGUAGCAGUGAAAUGCGUAGAGAUGUGGAGGAAUACCGAUGGCGAAGGCAGCUAACUACGGAAAUAUUGACGCUGAGGCACGAAAGCGUGGGGAUCAAACAGG